UUACCAAUGUACUUCACAGAGUCUACAAGACGUUAAAAAAUGUAUGCUGUGUUGUAAAGACCGUUUUAUGCUCAAAGUACUCAAAUUCUUUGUCAGUGUGCUUUCAACUGCAUUCACCAUUCGAACAUUUUGACAACACUUAGUCACCAUGUCGCCAGCAGAAACCUAUGGAAGUGUGCUUGUAAGCAAACAUGAUGUCGGUAAAACUUACAUCUAAUGAUAAGGGUCGGUGUCAUCAAACACACAACGUUCCAAGUAUUGACCACACGCCACAUUUUGAUUAUAACGGAAGUGUUGAAUUCACUAAUUUGUCACCACUGCCCGAGCAAGCGACGCAGCAACAUUUAAGCGAAGACGGAAACGAAGUUUUUUGUUAUUAUUCCGCGGAUAACACGGAACAAACUAUUUUGUAUUAUUCCGGAGACGAAUCUGAAAAGAAAAAGGAAGGGAGUCCAGGAGAGACUCAGUACUUUCGUUAUCAAAAAGACGGACGAAGGCACGCAAUGGGUACAGGAACAAGUAUAAUCGAUCCGUCCCAAGGAGGGAAAUAUCAAAAGCAGAAAAAAAGUAGAAGAACUAGCUCUGGGAGCGAUAAUGGUGGUUUCGAAACUAGCGCCUUUAGACUCGGUGUAAAAGAAAAACUUCGAUCAUCAUUUGAUAAAAUCAAUAUCAGAGUCCCUUUUAAAUGGAGUAGCUCCGAUAAGCUGACAAAUAAAGACACAAAACAAAAAUCGAACAGAAGGUCCAGCGAUUCUGUGUUCAAUGGACUUACCUCGAGGAAAAAGUUGUCCACUUCCCCAAUAGACUACAGCGAAGAAGAAGUGAAACGAAACGAACGCAGCGCGCACCAUGUGUAUUUACAGAGCCGUGCAAACAGUGUAGACCACAAGCACGAUUAUGUGAACAUUUCUGAAAUACCAGCAAGACACUUACAAACGCAAGCGCGAAAACCGCGCUAUAUUGACGUUGAAAGGGUGCCUGAAACUAAAGCCAAUUGCACUCUUUCGGACUAUUACGCAAUGCACGUCGAAAAACAAUACAGAGAAACCUCCCUAAAACCAAAGCAUGUUCCACUUAAAGUAGAACCUAAUUCACCGUACGCUUCAUUACUCAGUGAAAGCUCUGGCACUUUAUCAUCCGGAACUGUCCAGGAAAAACCGGAGUCUCGAAUAUCUCCAACCUGUACCCCACACACCACCGCCGAACCACCGAGGUUAGCACCUUCAGGAAUGCUGUUGGCAGACAAGAUCACUGACGGUAACAUUAUCCGACCUACUGCUUUCAAACCUCCAAAAAAGACGAAGAACUGGUUAGCGGUGACGCCAACGGAAAGUUCAUUGGUGAGUUCUAGCAAUCCUUGCCCGAGCAGUGUUGCCAGAUUUAGUGUUUCCACGACUUCCAAUGACUCCGAUUCCGGCCGCAAUUCUGCAACCAGUAUGCUCGUUGGAGCAUCAAAUGGCAGCAAUUUUAGCUGCUCAGGUUCAGAAGGAUAUGAAAGUGCACGUGUUUCCGCUUCCACCAAUCACAGCGCGUCUGUACCGGAUUCGGAUCAGUUGUUUUUAUCUCCGAAAUGUCUGGGCGAUGACGUAACGACAAAUGAAUCUGAAACCUCCGAUCCACAAACCCAACAAAAUGCCGCAGUAUUACGUAAUGGGUAUAACGAAAGCGAUAAGCAAUUUCAAAAGGUAUUCGAGGAAUACGAUAAGACGAGAAAAACUGAAGUAAAUGAAUUAAAGCAGGUUUAUUCCAAACAACUGAAGUCUCAGGCACGCAAAUCCACCCAAGCACAACAGAGGCUGCAGCAACAAAUAGACCGACUCCAGGAAGACAAACAACAAUCUUAUCGUCGGUUGGCGGAGCUUGAAGAAAAAAUCAAGUCUAUGAAUGAAGCUAUUGACGUUCAAAUGAAUGGAGACAUUGUUGAUCUUCGUGCCCGGCUUGAAGAAAGCGAAUGGGAGAGGCAACAAAAAUACGGGGAACGGUGCAUGCUCAACCGACAGUUCAAGGACACUCAGUGCGAAUCCGCUCAACGAGCGAGUGAAAUCGUAGCCUUACGAAACCCAGAAACCGUGAACUACAAGGCUUGCUAGCAAAACGAGAUUCUGAAAUCAGUGAACUUAAUGAAAAGUUAAAUGAAAACGAGAUUUUGAGAUUGACGAACUUCGACGUGUUUCUGAUGUACCGUCUUCACUAGUGUCUUGGCCAGCAAAUCCAACCUCAAUGCAUUCAGCGCCUAUACGAAGCAGCAGCGCACAUUUCAACGACCAACAGUACGGGGCCUGGCAAGAUGCUAGACACGUUCCAUCAUUACGCAAAAACGCGGACGGUACGGCGGCCUUGGAUAGAGACGAGCUCCUAAAAAGAUUGUACGACGCAGAAGCAAGGUGCAUGGAGCAAGAGCAAUACUUCAACAUGGAGAGGCGCCAAUGGGCAGACGAUAAGUCAAGAGUGGUAAGAUACCAAAAACAGCUGCAAGCGAAUUACGUUCAAACUUUCAAACGCUCUAGCGCUCUCGAGCGGGAAGUUAAACUCCUGACGUCACAAUUACACGGUGACGUAGCACCACCGCAUAAGAUAUCAGCAAAUAACGAAGGGGAGUUAACUUAUCCAAUGGAUAUAUAACUAAGCUGUUAUAUAGUUGGACAAAACCGUUACUGUACAAAUCACUAUUUUAUUUUCACUUCAUUGUCGAUUGCUUGGUGCUGAUUGUCUUCAAUACCUUCAAUCUGCUUUUCCUUUCAAGUAGCAGCAUCGUUGCUGGCUACUUUUUUCAAGUAUUUUCAAUCAAGGUGCUUUUUUACUUGUACACUUGCCGUUAUAAUAUCAUCGCAUUUGUUUUCAAGUA